UACGUAGGGUGCGAGCGUUGUCCGGAAUUAUUGGGCGUAAAGAGCUCGUAGGUGGUUUGUCGCGUUGUUCGUGAAAACUCACAGCUCAACUGUGGGCGUGCGGGCGAUACGGGCAGACUUGAGUACUGCAGGGGAGACUGGAAUUCCUGGUGUAGCGGUGAAAUGCGCAGAUAUCAGGAGGAACACCGGUGGCGAAGGCGGGACUCUGGGCCGAUACUGACGCUGAGGAGCGAAAGCGUGGGGAGCAAACAGG
rnacentral:rRNA from 1 species